rnacentral:lncRNA from 1 species
CAAGAGGAACGCCAUUGCUAGCUUCCUCCUGCAGAUCUCAUCCAUCUAUUUGCUAAACACAACAGCACACAACAUCUGGUUUCUUGAGUCUAGCAAUGUUUGACUCCGGAGGACAAGAUAGGAUGAGGUAUGGCUGCAUGCUUUUUGGAUGCACACUGCAUUCAUGAUGAAGGCAGUGUUCCUUUUUCUUUUUUUGGUUUGUGUGACUUGGAUCUUUGAUGAAGGCAGGAACUGAUUCCUUAUCUCUGUUAAAAUCUUCUCACAGAAGCCCACAAUGAAAUAAGAACUCAGAUGCAUACUGUAUGCAACAUACGCACUCGUCGUAGAACACUUGCUGUGCACGUUUGAUCUCAAAGCAGAGCGGGGAUCGAGUUGGAUUGAAUUCAAAGCAGAAGGUUGGAUGGAGAACUGUUGUCAGAAUGAGCUGCUAUUUGCCAAAGAGUGAUGUCACAGUGUAUGACUUAGAACACAACUCAUGUACUAUUUCUCUUGGAAAACAAUGCCGUAAGUUAAGAGUUUGAUAGCAAGUAAACAUCACUCUAAUUUCCCUUGAUGGUGAGCUCUCACCCUCCUUCACCAAGCCCCAAACAAGUGGAAUGGUAGCAGCAGGAUGAUGCAUAUUGCUUCAAGAUGCCAGGAAUGAAUACAUCAUCCAAGAUUUAUUAGCAGCAUGUUUGGAAGCAAUCAAGGAUGGUCAUGUCUCGACUACUGUUACAUUUUUGUGGAGUAAUGAGGUCAAAGUCAUUUACUUCUUUCUCU